rnacentral:lncRNA from 1 species
GAUCACAUAACCCAACUUAUGGGCUUCCACAACAGCGCCCACCACUGCCUUCUGCUCAGAUGGUUGGAGUGCACAACCCAGUGUCUGAAUUUCCAUCUCAAAUGGCAGCACCUCAGCGAUACCAAACACAACCUUCUCAAGUUGCAGGAACACAUAACCAACCUUCUGGGUAUCCAACUCAAAUGGCAACACAAAACUCCUCACCACGCUUCGAUACUCGAACGGCUGGAGCACGCAACCCGCCUUCUGAGUUUCCUUCUCAAAUGGCAGCACCUCAACGAUACCAAACACCGCCUUCUCAAGUGGCAGGAACACAUAAUCAAUCUUCUGGAUUAUCGGCUCAAAUGCAAGUACAAAAUUUCCCACCAAACUUUGAUAAUC